rnacentral:rRNA from 1 species
UACGUAGGGGGCAAGCGUUGUCCGGAAUCAUUGGGCGUAAAGCGCGCGUAGGCGGCCCGGUAAGUCCGUUGUGAAAGUCAAAGGCUCAACCUUUGAACGCCGAUGGAUACUGCCGGGCUAGAGUCCGGAAGAGGCGAGUGGAAUUCCUGGUGUAGCGGUGGAAUGCGCAGAUAUCAGGAGGAACACCAAUGGCGAAGGCAGCUCGCUGGGACGUGACUGACGCUGAGACGCGAAAGCGUGGGGAGCAAACAGG